rnacentral:rRNA from 1 species
CCUACGGGUGGCAGCAGUGAGGAAUCUUGGUCAAUGGACGCAAGUCUGAACCAGCCAUGCCGCGUGCAGGAUGACGGCUCUCUGAGUUGUAAACUGCUUUUGUACGGGGGUAAACUCCAAUACGUGAAUCGGGUUGAUUGUAUCGUAAGAAUAAGGAACGGCUAACUCCGUGCCCGCAGCCGCGGUAAUACGGAGGAUACGAGCGUUAUCUGGAUUUAUUGGGUUUAAAGGGAGCGUAGGCGGUUUGAUAAGUUAGAGGUGAAAUGUCGGGGCUCAACCCCGACACUGCCUCUAAUACUGUUGGACUAGAGAAUAGUUGCGGUAGGCGGAAUGUAUGGUGUAGCGGUGAAAUGCGUAGAGAUCAGACAGAACACCGAUUGCGAAGGCAGCUUACCAAACUAUAUCUGACGUUGAGGCACGAAAGCGUGGGUAGCAAACAGGAUUAGAUACCCUGGUAGUC